CAAGACCAUCAACAGCUAUUUAGACUCUCAAAAUCGAGCACCGGAGAGCUGCCGGGAAGCACAUUUCUUAAGAGAGUUAACAGAACAUCUCCGGAGAAGUGGGCAAGGCAGGCGUAGGCGGAACACAAACACACACAGACAUUCCCGAUUCCUGCCCCAGGAGGGAUGCCGCCAGGUACUCAGGAGCCACAGGUUGGCUAGCUGGAUGAAUAGAUGGAGAGCCACCUGCCAGCUCCACAAAGCCGUGAAUGCCAGUGCAAGCUGCGAGCACCAUUACAGAAAGCACAGUGCCAGGUGUCCGGAAAGGGAAGGCACGUUGUCAUGGCUGACUCCCUGCUUCUAAAGUCACAAGGACCCCUGGCUUCACAGUCUUUCUUUGUUUACUUACUUUCA
rnacentral:lncRNA from 1 species